AAUUUUUUAAUUUUAAUUAAAAUAAUUGGUUGUGGUCUAAGAGAUUUAAAAAUUC
rnacentral:tRNA from 1 species